AAGGUUCAGGGCAAGGAACCCAAGAGCCAGGACAUCUGCCCGAGGCUGCUGUCAAGCCGUACGGGUUUCUGUCCAGACGGACCAACUCCACCUCCAGUCAGGCUGUGCUGAAGGGUUAUUUCUGAGUGAUUUAUGAGACACACUAACUGGCCGCCUCUGUCCCUGUCCCCGAAGAUCUGAAAGCUGAAGCUUCCCGGCCGCUGUGGUUGUGGGGACUGUCACAGAUGCUGUGCAUGGGGAUUCUGGAAGUGCCCAAACUGUGUGUGUGCUGCACUGCAGGGCCAAAGUCCCAUCCUCAAGGCUGCGGGUAAGAUCCUCACUGUUGACCAGCUGGCCCUGGAGUCUCCCAAGGGUGGAGGCAUUGUGCUCAUGUCUGGUCCUCAGAAGGGGAGAGAGAGGUGUACCAACAUUUUGGCAAGGCCCCAGGAACCCCACACAGCUACACCAAACCCUAUGUCUGUUCCAAGGGCCAGAAG
rnacentral:lncRNA from 1 species